UAGGAAGUCUUAUUCGGUAGACAUCGAGGCAGACUUAGUCAUUUUAAUAAAAUAGUUAAAGGUUGUUAUGCAGAGCUAAUUUAGAGUAGUUAGCCAAUUUACUGCGCCACACUUCCACUCCAGUCCAGCAGGUGGAGGUAAUGUGCUUACGAACUGGCUGUCAAGCGCCGACAUUUAAAAGCCAAAGAAGCAGCACCGGUUCAGUCAGUUGGUUCUUCUCUGCAUUGAGCUAACAUCGUUGGUGAAGCUGAUCACUUCCAUCAAGUUAAAACCACUCCCAGACUGGACUCUACUUGGGUACGGGUUCAACAGCAAGCUUCAUCUACUCAUGUCAUGUUCUUGCAUGUUUUGGUUAGUGUGAAUUUUUAUGAAGUUAUUAUCCUGUAUUUGCUAUAAUUUGAUCAAAUAAAUAAAGCUGCAUUGUA